UAGUGGCAUUAACACAGGGCUAAACAGAACACCCAUCUAAAGUUUGCAGUUUUAGAUCACUGGUUCAAAGAAAACCGAACACCUGCUUUGUAUUGCAUGCAGUGUGAACCGUAUCUGCAUCUCUGCAGUCGACAAGCUGUCAAACAGUCUGGAUUAAUGACUUCCAAAUGCAAGCAACCUGUAAGACAGACGGGUAACAUCAAUGGUGAGCUGCCUGCAGCCUGCAUGCACCCACAUAGACCUGAUGAACACUGAAAAAAAAAAUCCCUAUCUCUGCCUCGGCCAGUUAUUUUUAAAUAUUGCUUUAGAGUUUUCCUCAUGUGAUACAAAAAAGCGCUGAAAAAACUUUUUGCACGCAGGCUUCAACACACCCAGAGGUAGUGUGUGACUAAAAUAGUUGAAAUGAUUUCUUCACUUUGCAUAUCAUGCGACAAUCGCACGUAUACAAACAAAACAGAAAACCCUGAGGAAGUGACAGAUUUUUUUUGCAAUAAAUCUGUCAGAGAUGUGCAUUUCUGUGAACAGCACACUAUUUUUGAGAAACAAACUAGAAAACAGAAAGGUAAAGUAGGCAAGUCGGUACAAUGGUUGAAUGAGCUGAUGAUGGCUCAGAGAGCAGCAGGGGAGCUGUGGUGGUUUGAUCCAUUACAGGGUUUCCCUCCCUGCUGGAGUGUGGUGGCACCAGGAAUUUCUCCCCUUCCUUCAGCACAGAUUUGAACAGAAGUGACAGUCCAGAGAAUACCACCUUACACGCUUCACUGGAGAGAGAGAGGGAGCAGACAUCGAGGAGAGGAAGAGUCAGUAUCCUCUUCCAUGCUUGAAAUCAGUCACCACAGCUGUGUCUAGGACACUGUUACACCUGUUGACCGGCGAAUGAACUCGACCAAGUGUUGCCAUCAUUGCCAUAGUGACCACCCAGCGCUGCCCCUGGCGUGCAGAAUUUCACCACAGAAACUUGACUUACCAGGAAACAGACAGAAAAGCGGACAUCGAAGAUCUAUAUUUGUUCAGGAAGUGGUAACGGCUGCUUUGCUUGCAUCUUUUUAAAUGGUAUGGACGGUGGCAGGAUGCUGAGUGUUUGUUUAACUGUGUGAUCAGUCACAUUUUACAAAGUAUGUGAUUGUAAUCUCCAACUGUGAGGAGACUCAUCUGAAUUUGCUCGGUUAGCUAUGAUAUAUAAUAAAAGCAAUCCAAAAGAGGACAUUUUUCUCCCUCCAACAUGAAUCGUAAUAUUGAUCUGCAUGCUUGUUAGUGGUGAGCUGAAGGGUUUCAAUGACAAUCAUUUGGUCCAUCUGUCUGUCCUCCCAUCUGUGCAAAAACCAAAAGACUACCAGGCAGACGGCCAUGUAAUACAGUACACACCGUGUUUAUUGUUUCCAAAGGAUUAUUCUCAAUGAUUUUGUUGACCUGCUGACCUUUCAUCUGUCCUGAUCAGUUCUUUGGUAGAUGGUCAGCUAUCUCAGAAACAUAAGACUCAGUAAUCAACACUUUUACAGUGGAUAGUCAUUGAUCCCAGUGGAUGAGCACUGACCCAGUGACCUCUGAAACUUAAUUAUCUAAAAGGCAAACAGCAGUGAAAUUCAGAAGCAUAUCCAUUUGGAUUAUUUCCUUCCCUUUUCUGCCAAACUUCAGGUUGGAAAAUCAGCUUUUCACAACAACAUUUCCGAAAGUCUACAGGCCAGAAUACCGUUAACUUCACUGAAUAUAUUAAUUAUGAAAACAAUAUGUUCUAUUCUUUUGUGCCGUCUGACAUUAUCAUUGUAUGGACUGUGAUGAACAUUGAAGGGUGUAGCGUCCACCAAGCUAAAAUUGUGAUUUAAAACAUUACAGUUUGGUCAGCAUAUUGUACAUCUUUGCCUCCUUGAUCUUUGCUCACUCGCUGUGUAAUUACAAAGACAUCUCAAAAAACCCUAUUUCUUUUACUAUUUCUCCACAUCUUUGUUUUUCAGCUUUCUAACCUCUCUCUGUCUGUUAUCAUCUCGUCUCCUGUCUCUCUAACUGAGCUGUGAUACUCCUUUCUUCUACUUAUCCUGUCAUAUUAUAUUUCCUUGUCCUCCUCCCUCACUGACCAUCCAUCAUUCCACAUGACAAAUAUACAAAGACUUCAGAGGAGUCAAGAGAGAAGCAGAGAAAAAACAAUGAGAGAGAGUGUUGAGAAUUCAGCUGUAGUGGCUGAAGGAGUGGUGGAGGAUGAUAGAAAGAAUGACACUCCUCUAUUUCCUGCUGGAAAAACAGUUUGGCCGAACGGUCAGUUACAGACACGCUCACGCACAGAUACAGCAAUGUUGACAGGAAAACAGCUUGUUGCCAGGACGGAGUAUUCAUUUAUUGCUUCCCCUCUGCCUCUGAUGCACCAUAGGGUACUGAAAAACACACACACACUUUGUUCUGUACAUUGUUCUGCAUGUGUUCCUGCUUGCAUGGCAACCACAACAGUUAUGCAAUAAAGCAGCAAUAAGUGUCAGAGAUGAACUACGGGUUCUGGAGCUAAAGGUGAAAGGUUUCUGUGUUUGUUCAUGUGUGUACAUGCUGUUUUCACAAGGCAGUACGUGAUCUGCACACAAAUGCCCACCGGUGUAUUUGUGUGGGUUGUAGGACAACUGACUCACACAGAGUCUGAACUUUAUCCCUGUACGUUCUGCACAGGAAGCAUGUGCACAGCAGUUGCCUUUGUUUUGCGGCAGGGUUUGAAACAGAAUCAAUCACCUCAUUUCCUGGCAAGAGGGCGGAGUGGCAAGAGAGGAGAGGAGAGGAGAGGAGAGGAGAGGAGAGGAGAGGAGAGGAGAGGAGAGGAGAGGAGAGGAGAGGAGAGGAGAGGAGGAUGAGUUGAACAGUCGAGAGAAAAAAAACAGAAAAUGCAUCUUCUUUCUCUGACAUAAAGUCCAUGAAGUGUAGGCAGCGUGGUGGCAUAAUGAACAACAAGUUGUCCUCCAUCCACAUUUCAUGACAUUCUGAGGAUAAACACACUCCCUGCUGAAUUGUCCUUGAGCAACAUGCUGAAUCUCCACCAGCUCUCUGGAGGUGGUGUUCUGUAUCCCAAUUCGAUCUCUCACCUCUCCUUUAAAAGUCUCUCCACAGGCCACCACUAGCGAUCAGGUUCCCUUUGUUAAUAAUAUACUCAUUUGUCUCCUGAUAGAGAAAUAUGAAGACUUUAGCUCCACCUCCUGGCCUGCUGCUCUCAUACACCUACUGAAUGCAACCGAGAUAGAAGGAAAAGAUUAUUUUGGAAAAAAAAAAAAGUCUUAAUGUGACUCAGUUCCUCUUAAGUAAGGAUCAACAUAUAAAAAUGACUCACAUGAAAAUGUUCCCACAUUACUCUGCAUUCUUUAGUCUAUGAACUCGGCUAUGAGGCUAUUCAGUGUUUGUCAGAGUGACAGGUUCAGGGUUGGUCUCAUCUUCUCUUCUUUGGUUGACUGAGCUUUUAUGUUGUUCCAGGAAAUCAAAGGGUGGAGUUGAGACCUUGUCAGUGAAGCAACACACCUGAACAGGCUGGGUUCAGCAGUCUACACAUCAGACGUGUUGAUCCUCUCACUCUCUUCCUCUUGCUUAAUCACUGCACUUUAUUUGUGGGUUGUGUUUCACAUCCAUGCACUUACACACUCCGCCCACUCUUUAAGGUCACAUCUUGUAUCUCUAAUAUUUUUUUUCAAGCUUUAGCAUUGUAACCCUGGUGAACCAGUACAUGUGCUGCAAUGGUUAGAGCCAGAGAUGAUUGAAAAGGGAGUGAUAAUAAAUCCUUAAAUAAAACCAAAGGGUUUCUGAAAUUGUUUCUGACUUGCAUCAGGAAAAUAUGUGCAUUUUGUAUCUUUUUUGUGACUUUUUUCCUGACCUGUGAGGCUUUACAACUAAACUCUUCCUUUAAAAGAAAGGCCUUGAACGUCUUCAAUUCUAAAUAAAUGAUGCCUUUUUUAAUAGAAAAACUUUUGUUGAAAAAGUUUUAAACCUAAACUAUGUACGUGUUUAACUUAAAAUAUUCCUUUAAUUAAGUUUUUGGAUCGGCUUUGAAGGGAAAUGUCACCAGGCAAAUUUUUUCCCUCUGACUUCUGAUAUUGUUUGACGUGUCUGAAUUACAAUCAGACACUGUAUACACUGCUGACCUGCUCACAAACACGCCUUCUUUUA